GAUUCCAUGGUUAACAUACGUUAAGAGACAAAAGAUCUCCAGUUGGACUGUAAAUGAGGGAAAACAACAUUCUUUGCUUCCUUCUAAAACAGUUAAUUCUAUAAAUUCAGAUGGUGAUAUUAUGCAAUACUCUGCGCAGAGUGGGAGGUGGAACGCACAUAUGCUCAAGUAUGUGGCAUGCUCUAUAAAAACCUGUCACACCUCUGCAUGUGAAAAGGCCAUCUGAAAUAUUACUCUACAAAAUAAAUACGGGCUCUCGCUA